rnacentral:rRNA from 1 species
GACGAACGCUGGGCGUGCUUAACACAUGCAAGACUAACGGGAAGGCCCUGCUAUUGUUUGGUGCUCGAGUGGCGAACGGGUGAGUAACACGUGAGUAACCUGCCCUUUACUUUGGGAUAACUUCAGAAAACGGGGGCUAAUACCUGAUAGGAGCUCCUGCUUCAUGGUGGGGGCUGGAGAGUUUCGGCGGUUGGGGGUGGACUUGGGGCUUAUCAGCUUGAUCGUGGGGGAGUGGCUUAUGAAGGCUUUGGCGGGUAGCCGGCCUUGGAGGGGGACCGGCCGCCAUGGGCCUGAGAUACGGCCCAGACUCCUACGGGAGGCAGCAGUGGGGAAUAUUGCACAAUGGGCCGAAGCCUGAUGCAGCAACGCCGCGGGCGGGAUGACGGCCUUCGGGUUGUAAACAGCUGUCGCCUGUGACGAAGCGUGAGUGACGGUAAUGGGUAAAGAAGCACCGGCUAACUACGUG